rnacentral:rRNA from 1 species
AGAGAGAGACAUGCGCGCAUAUCAAUAAGCGGAGGAAAAGAAACUAACAAGGAUUCCCUUAGUAACGGCGAGUGAAGCGGGAAGAGCUCAAAUUUGAAAUCUUCAAGGUUCUACCUUGACGAAUUGUAGUUUAUAGAAGUGUUUUCUGUUAGUGGAGUGGCAAAAGUUCUUUGGAAUAGGACAUCAUAGAGGGUGAGAAUCCCGUAUUUGGUCAUUCCUCCUAGCGUUGUGAUACACUUUCAACGAGUCAGAUUGUUUGGGAAUGCAGUCCAAAAUGGGUGGUAAAUUUCAUCUAAAGCUAAAUAUUGGCGAGAGACCGAUAGCGAACAAGUACCGUGAGGGAAAGAUGAAAGGAACUCUGAAAAGAGAGUUAAACAGUACGUGAAAUUGUCAAAAGGGAAGCGUUUGACACCAGUGUUGUUUUUCCGAAAAUCAAUUACGAAUGUUUUAGUUUUUGAGGAGUUAUGACUUCAUCGGCUUGCUCCUUUCUUUAUGAAACUUUCUUAAUGCACUUUUCGGCUAACAAGUCAACAUCAAUUUCUUUUGUUGUAAAAGGGUAUGAGGAAGGUGGCUUUCUUUUCGGAGAAAGUGUUUAUAGCCUUGUAGCCUCUGCAAUCGGAGAGAUUGAGGUCUGCAGCGUAGAUCCUUCGGGGUUAGAUACAGUUUGUGCUAAGUUAUAGCUUUUCAUAGACAACUUGUUGACUAUGUUUAGUCUUGUAGCUUACUCGCUGAUGCUAUUUUACCUACGCUUAGGAUGUUGAUAGUCACAGCGUGUAC